rnacentral:pre_miRNA from 1 species
CGGAUAACAAUUUCACUAAACUAAAACUUUGAACGAAAAUAUUCUAUGCUUCGUUCAAAGUUUUAGUUUAGUGAAAUUGUUAUCC